GCCGUCGCCUCACCACGCUUGCGCGCCGCCUGCCCAAGGCCUCCGACACUGCGGAGCGGGGCUCAGGGUCACCUGCACGAUCUCCGCCAGUCCCCACAACGACCCUGCCACGAGACUGCCACCACAGUAACAGGAAGCCCACCGUGGACAAGACAAACCAUCCCCCUUAGACAUAGGCCAGUUUGCAUGGCGAUCGAGUACGCACUCCGGAGCCAGACCGCCUGGGUUACCGUCCUGGCCUUGCCCGUUGCCGGUGGCAUAAGCCUGUGCAAGUUCCUAACCUCGCUGAGGAGCAUUUCACUCAUCUGUAAAUGGGGGGUAAUGAUGCCGGCCACCGCAUAGGAUUAUACAAGCGACGCUGGUGACGUGCUGCAGAACCGUGACCAGGCUGCUGUGAGUGCAUGCCGUUCUCUCUAGCAGCUCCGCGAGGUAGCCAUUCCUGCUCAAGAGGGAACUUAAGCCCAAAGAAGUUCAAUGAUUCAUGCAAGAAGAAGUUAACUGGGCAACAGUCACAGCAGGCACCCUAAUUUCAAACUGAAUGAAACCUCUGGUAUUUCUCCUGAUGCCUAAAGUUUUGAGAUGUGACAAUGUUUGUAUUCCAGUAUCCUACAGUUCCAGGAAGUUCAGCUCAUGAGAAUGUUGUAUAAUUGUGUUCAUCUGACCAAAGAACAGAAAUGAGACUCAGAAACCACCAAAGAGCUAGACGGCACAACCCGGAAGUAAUGGGCAUUUGGACGUCUAGGGAUGACCACCGAGAUGCAAGAGACAAGAUGGAGUUGGGAAGUGGGUCUGAGCAGGGAUGUCCAAACACUUAAGAUCCAGAUGGUGAAAUUCCAUCCAGAUAUGAGGAGACAGUCACUAAAGGCCUGGAGACAAAUAGCAGCUACUGGCCAAUGGAAAAGGUCUCUACUCCAUGACCUUGAGCACUGGGAAAGCAGGAAGGUUUUGCUGAUGUUGCAGGCUGUCUAUUAUCAUGGUGUUUCUCAAUUUUUUUUUUUGCCUACAUUUUUUGGUAAGAAAUAUAUAUGUAUAUAAUAUAUAACUAUAUAUAUAAUGGAAACAGAAAUUUCCUAAAUCAAUAUUUUCCCCUCCCCUUUGAAAUAUGCUUAUUUUCUCUCAUUUUCUAUUCUGCUCUAUUCUAUUUCAUUUCUAAAAUGUUGCUCAGAUGGAAAACAAAUCUGUGGUUUCCAGGGGUUAUGAACAGUAUGUCUGGCAGGAGGAGACAGUGACUAUAAAAAGGUAAUUUUGCCUUUCGUGGUGAGGGAGAGUUUUGUAUCUUGAUUAUGGUGGCAGUGAUCAUACACAUAUAUAUGUAUGACAGAAUUGCACACACACAUAAAGGUGUGCUCGUAAUAAUGGGAAAUCUGAGUAAGGCCACUAGUCUGUAGUAGGUAAAUGUACUGGGCCAGUGUCAGUUUCCUGGUUUUGAUAAGGUGCUAUAGUCAGCUAAGAUGUGUCUAUUGGGUGAAGCUGGGCGAUGGGUACACGGGACCCCUCUCAACUACUUUUGCAACUUCUUGCGCAUGUCUAUUUCAAAACAAAAAUGUUUUGAAUAUUACUCAAGACCCAUUAAAUUACUCAAGGUCACAAUCCGUAGUUUAAAAAUGAAACCCUGUUCACCAAGAGUGGAUGUUGGAUCAGCAGCAACUGUGCCUACAUAAACUGAUUUGUCUGAAGAGAUACAUCGGCCUGUGCAGACCUGUAUUUGAACUGGCUGGGACUCCACAACCUUAAGUCUCACUAGCCCCCGCCUCAACCCCUGCCAGUGGACUGGGAAGCUAGGGGUUGCACAGAGUAGACAGACGUUUAUUUCAUUUUCUUUGUGUGUCAUCCUCUAAAUGUCCCUACCCUAUCCCUCCCCCAUUUUUUUUUUUUAGACACUUGAUCCUGGGGCACCUGGGUGGCUCAGUCGGU